AACACACAUUUGUAUGAAUUUAUUUUCUUCCUUACCUCAUUGAUACAGUACAUGCUUCUUCUAUUUGCAAUACCACAAUUAGCCUAUAAAUAUUUUAAAAAUAGGAUUUACCACAUCUGCAUUUCAUAUCAAUGGCAAGUUAUAAUAUUAUGCUCUUUCUGUCAAUUUAAUAUCUUAUACGACAAAGUACACAUAUUGAAAUACUUGGAAAGUAUCACACACAAUGCUUUGAAAGUUUAGUAAGGUUUCCACAUUUGUAAAUGGUUAUUUGUAGAUGAUUUAUUAUUUUGAAGUGUAUUGUAGUUGAUUUGAUAGCAAUGGUUGUGUGUUACAUGCUGCUGUCUUUUGCGCAGGCGGUGCGGUUUCGAUUCACCGCCAGUGCCCCAACACCCUGCAUGUGCCAAUCUUGGAUUAAAGAAACUGGAUGUGUUGCUUCAGGAAGGAAAUAUGCCAUGCCGGACAUAUUACGACAGGACAAAGGGGAGAUUUAGGUAGUGACUGUGGAAGGUGAUGAAUCACUCCUUGGUCACACAUCAGCCAUUUCACUGCUGCACAAAGCCUUCAGUAGCAGCCCAGGGUCAGACACUUUUUGAUGUGUGUUUGAUUUGCUAUCCGCCUCAUUUAUCUGCAGCGCAGCACAUUGCAUGUUUCCUUUAGUCCGACCAAUCCGUCCCUCUUGAACUGAGCAUUAUGCAUACUGUAUGUGUGCUUAAAAUAAAUGAUAUAGUCGUUUAGGAAGCAACCCUAACACGCUCAUGAUGUUGCAUUACACAUGGACAAAGAUGCUUUCACUGGCAGACUGUGAGGUCUGCAGAGGUGUUGUCCAGGCCUUACAUGAUGGACAGGCUGCAGCUUCUCAUUAAAGCUUGUGAACUGUGAAA